rnacentral:rRNA from 1 species
UACGUAGGCAGCGAGCGUUGUUCGGAAUUACUGGGCGUAAAGAGUGUGUAGGCGGUGCUCCCAGUCUGUUGUGAAAUCUCCCGGCUUAACUGGGAGGGUGCAGCGGAAACUAGAGUGCUAGAGGGUGGGAGAGGUAAGCGGAAUUCCUGGUGUAGCGGUGAAAUGCGUAGAUAUCAGGGGGAACACCUGUGGUGUAGACAGCUUACUGGACCACUUCUGACGCUGAGGAGCGAAAGCGUGGGGAGCGAACAGG